rnacentral:rRNA from 1 species
UAAAGUGGCGUACGGGUGAGUAACACGUGGAUAAUCUGCCUUUUAGUGGGGAAUACCGUUGGGAAACCGACGACAAUACCGCAUAAGCUCGAAAGAGGAAAGCAGCAAUGCGCUGAAAGAGGAGUCCGCGGUCGAUUAGUUAGUUGGCAGGGUAAAAGCCUACCAAGACUGUGAUCGAUAGCCGGCCUGAGAGGGCACACGGCCACACUGGCACUGAAACACGGGCCAG